rnacentral:lncRNA from 1 species
UGGAGAGGGCAGAAAACUCUCCGCCUCCACCCUUCGAAACCCUUUGGCGGAAGAGAGGAGAGGAGGAAACCUCGGCGGAGCUUUCCCUAAUCGUCCUCUUCCCAGGUACCGCCUUUUUGAAAAGGAGAGGGAAGGGAAAUUCAAACAGCAGCAUCAGACAUGGUUUAAGUUCAUAGCCGUUUCCUUUUUUAAUGGAAAUUCCCUUAUUCCGAAUAGGAUUCCUCGCAAGAAAAGGGAAAAGUUGACAGCUAUGUUUAAGCUGCUAACACCAGCCUCCACAGCUACAUGCCUAGAAAUAAACCUUCCCUGUUAAACACACGUGGUGGUGAUGAACGACAGGGGUAUAGAUGGCUUUAGAAACGGAUGGGACAAACUGAAAUGGGAGUUUGGAGGGGGGUCUAUCAAGGGUUAUUUGUUUUUAUUUCUAAAAAUAAUGUGUGCCGUCUAGGGUUUGGAAUCAGAAAACUGGAGCACUUGAGGGUUUACGUUCCUCGUUUAAACUGUGUGUACCCUACCACUGCAUCAACUGAGCCACAUCCCUUGAUUUCAGGGAAUCUACUUUGGGCAUAAUACUUCGUUGGAUACAAGCCAAUGCAUUUAGGGUCAGGUUUCAAAAUUUAAAUCAGGAUCUGUUUUAACUUUCCCCCCCUCUAAGUUACAAUCUGUGAAGGUGCACUCCACACUUGGGGCAAGCCUACCUUGGGGGGGGGGUCCUCCUACCCCCCACAUCGACACCAGAGAGCAACCCGUCCUCCUAGGGGCUCCGACUGGGACCUAGAGGGGUGGGACAAACUGUAAUGCUUGGGACAAAUCCUGCCAACACCUGCAGUCUGGCCAAGGAACCCAGAGAGCAGAACUCAUUGGAAUGUAAGGGAGCAGCUUUUAUGAAUUUGUUUAAGAACAUCAGAGGGGACCAGCUGGAUCAAGUCAAAGCCAAAUCUUGGUCAAUAAUCCCUUGCUUGCAGCAGCCAACCUGGUGGUCCAGGCAUAGGAAGCUACCCUACACUGAAUCAGACCAUUUGUCUGUCUUGCUCAAUACUGUCUACACUCGUGGUUCAAAGAAUAAAUAAAUAAUUUCCCACUAACUACUCUGAAGUUGCUGAGGGGCUUGGCGAAUUGCUUCAUGCGUGUUGUAGCCAUGUAAUGUGCUAUGCUAGGUGCUGUAUGAUUUUUAAUGGCAUUUUCUCCUUAUAUAAUUGUAUUUUAGUCUAUUCCGCAGUACAAGAAAUAACGAAACCACAGAAACACAAUUUAAAAUAUACUGUGAAUAUUUAAUGUGAUGGAUGUGCCGUCCUCCCAUUGUCAACCACAAGUCCACAUGCAUGUCACAGACCACCUGAAUGAAGUAUGCGGACCACUGGUAGUCCAUAGACCACAGUCUGCAAACUCCUGGUCGACAAUGACUCAAAGCGGCUCUCCAGGAUUUCAGACAGGGUUCUCUCCAAGCCUUACCUGAAGAAACCGGGGAUUGAACCUGGAGCAUUCACAAUGCAAAACAGAUUUUUCAACUCUGAGCUGCAGCCCCUCCUUCUCUGGGAAGCACAAUAAGCAGUGCCUUAAUGGGCAAUACAGUGGUACCUCGGGUUAAGUACUUAAUUCGUCCCAGAGGUCCGUUCUUAACCUGAAACUGUUCUUAACCUGAAGCACCACUUUAGCUAAUGGGGCCUCCUGCUGCCACCGCGCCGCCAGAGCACGAUUUCUGUUCUCAUCCUGAAGCAAAGUUCUUAACCUGAAGCAAUAUUUUUGGGUUAGCGGAGUGUGUAACCUGAAGCGUAUGUAACCCGAGGUACCACUGUACCCUAAUGCAAGGAUGUCUUCCAUUUAUUUUUCUUUCUUUUUUACACACACAAACACACAGCAUCCUACAUCAGUGCAGCAGAGGGCCCGUACAGCAAUCAGAGGGCUGAACUAAGUUUGGAGAUCUAUCAGGAUAGUCACAAACAGGGAAUGAAGGCCAUUCCUCUCUGCUGCUGCUGCUGAUCCCCAGCAGUGGGUCAUCAGAGACUGCCUCUGAAUGUGGAGGUUCCAUUUGAUUCAGUUAGCAUAGUACAGACAGCCUUCACGCGUGUUUCAUCCGCUUUUCCUUUCCACUGCCACAGCCCCCCACAUCAAAUUCCACACAUUAAUUAGGUGCCAUAUUUAAAACUACCCAUUCGCACACCAGUUUCCGUCUGGCACUCUGUAAAGAUAACUGGUGCUACAUGUGAAGCAGGCGCAAUAAAAAGAAAGCUUCCCUCAGAGGAACUGAGAGAUCAAUAGAAUCAUCACCGUAUCCCAUUACACACACUCUGCAGGUUGGUACAAUUGAGGCUUGUAAGCAGCCACCUGCUGGUCUGCCCGUUAUGAGGCAGAAGCCAAUAAUAUAAAACAUUCUAAAAUAUAGCAGCCUUCGCCAACUUGGCGCCCUCCAGAUUGGCGAAGCGCGUUUUUACAAGCGGUUGAUGCACCUUUAAACAGCAUACACUAGAAGGCUUGACAGCUGGGCUACCAAAGUCAUUUGCAUGUUAUUCACUUUGGAUAUCUUUGUCUAACGUUGCUGUUUUAGGAGGAAGCUUGGCUGGUUCCAAGGAACAGUGGCCUUGAUGCAUCUAGAACUAACACAUAAUCUUAAGAAUCAGAGAGGGACCAACAAGUGAAACUCAAGGCGUGUUCCACAGCAAAACAAAACAAGCCACAGAGCUCUUUACCAUUUAGCCCACUAAGAGCAGGAACAACUGAGGCACAUGGCCAACACCAAGGGGGAUUAGAGACUGCAGUCAGUAUCUGUUUGGGAAUCUCACACAAGCCACUCAGAGUUCCUCAGAGGAAAAGCAAGAUGGAGAAGAAAGUUCAAGCUGACACAUGAGCAAGCCAACAUGGAGAAAGGGUGUCCCUACCCACAGUGUGGUCCAUGUCCAAUCACACUGGGAAAUAACUCUGUAGGAUUUCUCCCCUGAUUCUCCUCUUCCACCAUUUCAGCUUGCUUGUUCACGCACCUCUUGCUCUGGCCAGAGAGGAUAAGCAAUCAGGAACAUUUCAAGCUCUCCAUAUUCCUACCAGCCUACCUCCGAAGUGAAAUGGAAAUAGGAACAGAAAGCUACACAUUUCAGCAACAGACGGAAAACCCCAAGGCUCUCCAUGCAGUGGGAUGAACACUGAGAACCAAUCAGUCAUUACUACCACCCUAGACUAUUUAUAGUCACCAGCAAAGAGGCCAGUCAAGUCCGCACCCGGGAGGAAGCAACACAUAAUAAGAGUUAACACAUCUGAGAGGUGAGGGGAGACCUAUUAAGCAAAUGAUUUUUGGUGAGCAACACACACUGAGAUUCAGAGAGGAAGGUGGAAAGAAAAGGCACCCCCCUUUUUUGCUUUUAAUGUUAUUGCAGAG